CGGGAUGGACGUACCUCUGGUGUACCAGUUGUCCUGCCAAGGGCAUGGCUGGGUAGCUAUGUACGGAAUGGAUAAGCGCUGAAAGCAUCUAAGCGCGAAGCCAACUUCAAGAUAAGAUUUCCCACCGCAAGGGUAAGACCCCAGAAAGACUAUCUGGUUGAUAGGUCGAAGGUGUAAGUGCAGCAAUGUAUUUAGCUUAUCGAUACUAAUAGGUCGAGGACUUGACCAA
rnacentral:rRNA from 1 species